rnacentral:ncRNA from 1 species
GCUUGACUCUAGUCUGGCACGGUGAAGAGACAUGAGAGGUGUAGAAUAAGUGGGAGGCCCCCGGCGCCCCCCCGUCCCCGCGAGGGGGCGGGGCGGGGUCCGCCGGCCUUGCGGGCCGCCGGUGAAAUACCACUACUCUUAUCGUUUUUUCACUGACCCGGUGAGGCGGGGGGGCGAGCCCCGAGGGGCUCUCGCUUCUGGCGCCAAGCGCCCGGCCGCGCCGGCCGGGCGCGACCCGCUCCGGGGACAGUGCCAGGUGGGGAGUUUGACUGGGGCGGUACACCUGUCAAACGGUAACGCAGGUGUCCUAAGGCGAGCUCAGGGAGGACAGAAACCUCCCGUGGAGCAGAAGGGCAAAAGCUCGCUUGAUCUUGAUUUUCAGUACGAGAGGAACCGCAGGUUCAGACAUUUUAUGUAUGUGCUUGGCUGAGGAGU